AACGAACGCUGGCGGCAGGCUUAACACAUGCAAGUCGAACGAGAUCUUCGGAUCUAGUGGCAGACGGGUGAGGAACACGUGGGAACAUCCCUUUCAGUUCGGAAUAACGUUGGGAAACUAACGCUAAUACCGGAUACGUCCUUCGGGAGAAAGAUUUAUCGCUGAAAGAUUGGCCCGCGUCUGAUUAGCUAGUUGGUGAGGUAAUGGCUCACCAAGGCUACGAUCAGUAGCUGAUCUGAGAGGAUGAUCAGCCACAUUGGGACUGAGACACGGCCCAAACUCCUACGGGAGGCAGCAGUGGGGAAUAUUGGACAAUGGGCGCAAGCCUGAUCCAGCCAUGCCGCGUGAGUGAUGACGGCCUUCGGGUUGUAAAGCUCUUUUAUCCGGGAAGAUAAUGACCGUACCGGAAGAAUAAGCCCCGGCAAACUUCGUGCCAGCAGCCGCGGUAA
rnacentral:rRNA from 1 species